ACCAGAAACCUCUUACAGAUAUGAAGACAUUGGUUAUGUUGGGCCCCUGACUGCCGCCUGUCCCACAGUCAGUUUAGAGGUUCAGAAUGACAGGCCCUGGCGAUUGAAGAGAUUUCCAAGGAUUUCCCAUCAUUCCGUUUUAGUUUUCCAGACUCUUGGUGCAGGGAAAAAUUUCACUAUAUGCUUCUUUAAUGUGGGUGUCUCUUCCAAACCCUGUCAGCAGUCUACAUAUCCCCAGGCUUCAUCCCUCAUUAGGCUCCAAGGACACUGGGAGAAAGCUUGGGACACAGAGACCUGACUGUGGAAGGUUGAAAGAAGCUGAGGAGAAGGGCGAUCCUGUUGGAGGUCCAGCAGUCUCAAUUAAUCUGGACCCCUGAGAUCUCUCAAACACCGGACCACCAAACAGACAGCAUAUAUACCAGCUGAUAUGAGGCCCCCAACACACAUACAGCAGAGGACUGACGGCUUCCUCCUGAUGAACUGUGCCUGCCUGUGGCUCUUCUGAAGUCCAUCAACAUCUGCAUCAAAGUUUGAAAAUGCAACUGCUUUUAGGUAAUUUGAUAAAUCGUCUGAAGGCAUUUUCAUAUGUGUGUACUCUGCUUCUGCAUUCUAUUUCUAAGAUCCUUUAGGGGAAAAUCUAUAUCUUUUUUUCUUCCCUUUAUAACCGUCUCUGCACGAUUCUUAGGACAGUGUUUUCAUCAGCGUGCUUAUUGUCUGAACACGCUCUUUCUUUGUAGGCUGAGAACCCUUGGAGGCUGACUUUAUUUCAUUCAUUAAUUUAUUUAAAAUAUUUACUGAGGCCUAUUAUGUGGCAGGCACUGGCUAAGUGCUCGGGGUUCAGUGUUGAAACUCACAGUCUGGGGCAAAGAAGGAAACAUACACAAAUAACUGUAAUACAAUGUGAUAAGUGCUGUAAUAUAGGUACCGUGAGCUCGGAGUGCUCUGGAAACCCAGGAGGAAGCUUAUGAAAUAAUUUCCUUACUGUUCCAAUGUCUAAAUAUGAAUGUUUAAGUAAACACCUUUCCUUU